CUGAGGGAAGCAGGCACGGCGGCAGCUAAACUGUGCUUCAGCCCCGGCGGAUAAGCGAGCUCCAAGGGUGGAAAUGCCGUCUGACUUGCUGCCAUCAGCCGCUAGGUGCCCAGAGGGUCAUCCGGCCUCUUCACAACGAGCAAUGUCAUCUGUAUAAGGAUUCAUUCAUAAAAUUGCUGUUCUGAGCGCUGAUGCUGUUAUCUCCACUGUGGAUUAAGAUGUACACGCAAUCUGGUGACAUCAUCAUGUGGAAGAUUGGGUCCUGUCCUGUGAGUAUGGACAUGGGAGUCACAGCAUAAGAACAUGAAGUAUAUGUAAAUACGCACAUGCCUUGGACUGAAAAGUUUGUCAUACAUGCUGACAUCAUGAGUUUGUCAAUGAAGGCUGCAAACUCUGACUGGACCUCCUUUAUAUACUGGAUUUCUGAAGCAUCUUGGAGCAACUACUGAACAUAAGGAAACACAACACUUCCUAACAGCACAAAUUGAUGCUACAGGGCCAUUAACAUUCCCAGAAACGUCUGCGUCACAGGUCUGCAAAAAUCUGUUCAGACUGACAGUCAGGUGGUAUCCGUUACAAUCGGAUAAAUGAAACAAGUAAUGUGAAGCACAGUUUAGAGAAGGGAAGGAAAACAGGUGCUUGGAGGAGAUAAGGAGCGCCAUUUGCUGUACCAUGCACAGCAGGUAUCAUGGAUAUGAGAUCACAGAUGUUGCUCAGCAGUCACAAGUGUCUGAACCCCUGGAAAGAUGUGGGCUAGAGAAAAGAAGUUAUUGCAGCAUAUGUAAACAGGCUGUUAUGGGAUGGCAGGGUUUUGGUUGCCAGAUAUUGGUCUCCUUCAGUUCUUGCUUUCAAAGGACAAAGGCAUUUAGCCAGCAUUAGGCUGGUUUCCUUUAAAAACAAACAUUUAUAUUAUGUUGGGAAGGUAUGGUAAAUCCUGAAGUAUCUGUUUUGUAGUCAAUUAAAUCACAAUAGAGACUCAGCAGAAAUGAGUUGGUCCCAGGUACCUUUGGGACAGAAAAGUCUCUGGGAAUUGAGGCCCACCUUGCCAAAUAAUCCAUAUAUUUUCACGUACAUACACUUAACAGUAAGAUCGCUAAUUUCAUUCUCCUCCAUUCGCCUGAGGACAUAUUUAGUAAUAUACAGCUUUUUACCUCUCCCCUAGGUACAUGGUAGAAUAAAGACAGAAGAAAGAGAAGGAGUAACCCAGUCAAGGCCCAUAGCAAACUGAGCACAGACUGAAGCCUCAGAGCGGAUCUACAUGUAGAUACAGCACUAGCUCUGCCUAAACUUCAGCACACCUGUCUUUGUUUUUCCAGUGGUAUGAUAAUAAUAAUACCACCUACCCACCUGUCUCUUGAUGAGUGCUGUGACAAAUGCUCAAUGACAAAUGCUCAUAGUAUUUUAUGGAAGUAAAGGAAGAUGUAGGAGAUGCUUAUGAGGGGAAAGCAAACUUUAAAUUUAAUUUUGUCCACAGGAAAAAAAAAGCAACCCUCUUCCGUAAAAUUUACAUUACUAAAUCUACAGAACUUAAAAAAUUAAAGCCCCCCUGCACCCAAAAUUGAGUAUUUUAAACUAUUUUUGCAGUCAAUUUUUAUGUGACUGUCAACUUUUUUACAUGCAGAAUCAGGAAUUCUCAGUAGUUAGCAGAGCUGUAAUUGCUCCCAAAAUGAGUCUGGCAAACUUUGCUUUUUAUCUUAGUUACAGAAAGUUCUGCAGUUCCAGGGGUGCUGGUCUCUGCAGGUAGAUGAGAGUGUGGAAAUGGAAUUGAGGGCCUCAAUCUUAAUAAAACAAAAUAAUAAUAAAAUAACAUAAUAAAAUAAUUAAAGAAAACAGUACAAACCUUGGAAGGAAGUGUGUCUUAAAUUUGGUCUGGAACAUUCUGGCUAAAAUGACCAGUAGAAGUACUAAUAAAACACUGGUAGCAGUAAAUGCCACUAUUUUCCAUGUAGUCAGGAGGGUCUCCUGUGUAUUUGGCCAGGUUUGUUCUGCAACAAAAUGACAAUAAUACCACAGUUGUGCUUGAUCAUUACUGUUGCUAUUUUAUAUUAAUUCAACAAUAUUCAGAAGGGCCAGUUGGGAUGAGAGAUUUCUUAUAUGCCUGUUUUAUAUGCACAUACGUAUACAUGAAUCAAAUUUACACCCAUUAAUCUAAUCCCAGAUACCAAAGCAGCCUUAACAGCAAGCUGUCACUGGGGCCAGACCUUGUUUUUCCUCUUGAUGUUAUUUUUAUGUGUGCAACCAUAGAUUUAGCUUAUAUACGUAUUAAAAUAUCAACAUUCAAAAAUACAUUUGAAGAGCUAAGUAUUGAAAUGGUUUAGGAUCACUCAGGAAAUAAAAUAUGCUGCAUUUAAUGGCACCUUAAA